rnacentral:tRNA from 1 species
GGCCUGAUAGUUCAGUGGUAGAAUUCUUGCUUUGGGGAACCGAAAAUGUAAGAGGUCUCCGGUUCGAUCCCGGAUUAGGCCC